rnacentral:rRNA from 1 species
UACGAAGGGGGCUAGCGUUGCUCGGAAUUACUGGGCGUAAAGGGCGCGUAGGCGGCACUGUUAGUCAGGCGUGAAAUUCCUGGGCUUAACCUGGGGACUGCAUUUGAUACUGGGUUGCUUGAAUUCGGGAGAGGAUAGCGGAAUUCCCAGUGUAGAGGUGAAAUUCGUAGAUAUUGGGAAGAACACCGGUGGCGAAGGCGGCUAUCUGGACUGACAUUGACGCUGAGGCGCGAAAGCGUGGGGAGCAAACAGG